rnacentral:lncRNA from 1 species
CCCCACACCAAAUGGCCUGCUCAGCUCAUUAGUAGCCAGCAAGUCCUUCCAAAGCUGCUCACAACCACUUUCAGAAUUAAGUCAUAAUUAAGAUCAAAGCCCUCUAGCUAUGCAGAGAGAGCACAUGGGAGCCUGAGAGAUGAUACGUUUUUAGUUUUCAUUCUCAAGAUCUACAGUUGGGCAUUUUAAAAUGCUGACUUACUCAAGAAAAUGCUUAAGUAGAAUAUAAGUGGCAAUGGAAGAAUGCAAGCCCGUGACAAACACCACUCAUCCGCCCUCCUCCCCAGGCUAUCCCAGUAACACAUGGAUACAGAGACUUUAUAGAUAUCGUAAGUGAGCUUGCUCUGAGUGGGUACUUUGUGUCCCAAACAUUUCCAGCUCUGGAAAAGCUCGAGUCUUAUUAAGGAACGUCUCCAAG